GGUUCGGGAAAUUUAAUGGCUUUCGGCACACAACUCGACGGAUACCAGCUUGAUAGCACUCACACGGGCAGCUGAAUGGCGAUGUCUUGAGAUGACACGAAUGAAGCCCGAGUGAAGUCUCUUUAAUGUAGAGAAACAUAACACAAAAGAUGCAUAACUACAACUCUGCCAGACCUACCAGGGCGAUCCGGGCGUCUAGAAGAGCAAACGGGAAGCGGAGAUCUAACAGGCCGUCACGUGUUGUCGGUAAUGGGCACGCUUCCAGCCAGCCUGCCAACACAUCCUAAUGGCAUUGCGAAGGAAAAAGAACCCUAUCUGAGGAACGGGAGAGUGGCGAGAAGUAGAAGAGGAAGAGGGAGGAAAAAAACAAACGCUUCCGCUUCUUCGCCCAAGAUAGCGCUCGUAUUACGUAUCGGUCUGCGGCAGCUGCGUUUUCAGUUAGAUCGUACUGCUGCCAUACUGCCUCGUUUAUCGAGCGUGUUGUCUAUGUGUUUGUGUGUGUGUGUGUUGCGGCAUUGCUUUCACAGGGUUUUACGAGAGCAACUACAAAAAAAAGACACCAUUUCCGUUUGUCCCAAAUUCAAACAGCACCGACAAAUCUUCACAAAUCUUCAGGAACUCCCCAGUAAGUCACACCAGUAAAGAUCGGAAAGCAUGCGGAGUACUAGGAGAUAGGCAAAGGCACUAGAUUGAUGAGGCUUUAUUAACAGAUAUACAGGUAGCUUUUGUUACACUGGAAGGUAAUAAUGAUAAUGAUUAGUCUAAAACCUUUCCCAGCAAGGCCGCUUGGUGCGUCCUGACUUGCACAUGUUAAGCGACUUCCAGCGGUUUAAACAAUGAUUGCUGCAUUAGGAAAAAACUUGCACCUAUAUCUCCCGGGAUCAUAAAUAAAAAAAAAUCAAUUAAACACAGGCUGCGCUCGAAUUAAAUUUGUUUGUGUUGUAUCUCACAACAACAGAGGGAUUACACUUGUAUUUCGGCUUACGAACAUGGACAUGGACAGGCAGGAGUAUUAAACGUUCGACACUAAAUCUCAAAAGCACACAUUAACAUACAGAUACAGUACUCUUUUGUACACCAAUUUCUAUGUUGUUACUUGCUUGCGUUUGUGCUCAUGCUAGAUAACAGGCUAGUAAUAUUCUGCAUUGCUCAAUACUUCCUGUUCACUUUCUCACCACCUUUCAGCGUGCCUUGAGAGGGUCAGAGGACCUACGCUUAAUGGCUAACACAACUCGCGCACACUCCACACUACAGAUCAAUCGCAAAGCAGACGAUAAAGCACACGGGGGG